UGCAGUCGUACGAGAAGCCACCUUCGGGUGGUGAGUAAAGUGGCGCACGGGUGAGUAACACGUGGAUAAUCUGCCUCAAGGUCUGGGAUAACCCCGGGAAACUGGAGCUAAUACCGGAUAAGCCCACGAUGUCUUCGGACGAUGUGGGAAAAGAUGGCCUCUCCUUGGAAGCUAUCGCCUCGAGAUGAGUCCGCGUACCAUUAACUUGUUGGUGAGGUAACGGCCCACCAAGGCUACAAUGGUUAGCUGGUCUGAAAGGAUGAUCAGCCACACUGGAACUGAAACACGGUCCAGACUCCUACGGGAGGCAGCAGUCGGGAAUAUUGGACAAUGGGCGCAAGCCUGAUCCAGCAACUCCGCGUGAGGGAUGAAGGCCUUCGGGUCGUAAACCUCUGUCGGGAGGGAAGAAAGCCGUGUUAAAAAUAUUUUCGCGGUUUGACGGUACCUCCAAAGGAAGCACCGGCUAACUCUGUGCCAGCAGCCGCGGUAAUACGGAGGGUGCAAGCGUUGUUCGGAAUUAUUGGGCGUAAAGCGGGUGUAGGCGGCACGGCAAGUCAAAUGUGAAAUCCCUGGGCCCAACCCAGGAACUGCAUCUGAAACUGCCGAGCUAGAGUCUCGGAGAGGGUGGCGGAAUUCCCGGUGUGAGGUGA
rnacentral:rRNA from 1 species